GGACACUUUGCUGAGGACACCCGAGCAGGCAGAACGUGCGUUACUGCAGGGGACGAAGGUAGAUAGAGCAACUGUCAAGAAGGACGUGCGUACUGUUUGACGAUCACCCCAAGACCCAAAACACUCGGCUCACGACCAUUCCAGAGAGCGUGUUUUUACAUCGUCCUUCCCUUCUGUUUGAAUCCAGUCCACGCCAUGCAUCGCCAACGCCUCCUCCUCCUACUUCUCCUCUCCUUCCUGGAUGGCAUCUUGGGUAAUAUCGAGGACUUGAUCGCGGACUGCACGGAUUUCCGGCGGUGCCAGUGUGCCCAGGGCGUCACGGGAGGGAGGCCUGCCUUGGCAUUCGUCACCAACACCAAGAUUAACACAAUAUGCAU